UACGUAGGCAGCGAGCGUUGUCCGGAUUUAUUGGGCGUAAAGAGCGUGUAGGCGGCCAGGUAGGUCAGCUGUGAAAACUCGAGGCUCAACCUCGAGACGUCGGUUGAAACCACCUGGCUAGAGUCCGGAAGAGGAGAGUGGAAUUCCUGGUGGUAGCGGUGAAAUGCGCAGAUAUCAGGAAGAACACCCGUGGCGAAGGCGGCUCUCUGGGACGGUACUGACGCUGAGGCACGAAAGCGUGGGAGCAAACAGG
rnacentral:rRNA from 1 species